GGUGAACGCUGGCGGCGUGCCUAACACAUGCAAGUCGAGCGGCCGCACGGGAAGAUUGUUCCCUUGCGGUUGGCGGGGGGCGGGCGGGUGAGGCGUGGAUCGGAAUCUUCUUUUUCUGGGGGAAUAACGGGGGGACGGUGCUGCUAAUAGCGCAUAUGUUCUACGGCUUAGUUCAGUAGAUCUUGGGACUUUUGGCGAUUGAUUUGGCCGGUGCCGGAUUGGCUAGUUGGGUGGGUAAGGGCACACCAAGGCGACGACCCGUAGCUGGUCUGAGAGGGUGAUCAGCCACACUGGAACUGAGACACGGUCCAGACUCCUACGGGAGGCAGCAGUGGGGAAUAUUGCACAAUGGGCGAAAGCCUGAUGCAGCAACACCGCGUGAGUGAAGAAGGUCUUCGGAUUGUAAAGCCCUGUUGUUGGGAAAGAACAACAGUAGAAUAAUCCACCGCCGUCUUGACGGUACCCAAAGAAAAAGCCACGGCUAACUUCGUG
rnacentral:rRNA from 1 species